CAUUAUCAAUCUCCGCGCGAUCUUUUUCGCGCGUGUAUUUAAAACCCACCCUUUUUUUGAAAAAAAAUUUUUACAUAUUUAUUUACUUAAAAUGAGUAAUUAAAAAAGAUCACUUUCAACAACGGAUCUCUUGGUUCUCGCAUCGAUGAAGAACGUAGCAAAGUGCGAUAAGUAGUGUGAAUUGCAGAAUUCCGUGGAUCAUCGAAUUUUUGAACGCAAAUUGCACUCUUCGAUUUCGAGGAGUAUGCCUGUUUGAGGGUCGUUAAAAUAAAAAUCGAUUUGUUUCUUUUUUGUAACAUUUCGGAAUUGAGCUAUCUUGUAUCAUAUGAUUCAAGAGGCUUAAAAUUGAUCAUUUUGGUAUGAUUUGAGCGUACUUAAGAUUUCUUUUAUUGCGCUUGAUGAGUAUCGGACGUUUUUAUUAGGAUGACCAUUGAUCAUGGUUUCAUUCCUAUAAUCAUUUCAUGAUGCGACCUCAAAUCAGGUAGGAAUACCCGCUGAACUUAAGCAUAUCAAUAAGCGGA
rnacentral:rRNA from 1 species